rnacentral:rRNA from 1 species
CCUACACAUGCAAGNUCGCAACGGCUAGCACAGAAGUAGCUUGCGUCUCGGGUGACGAGCUGCCGGACGGGUGAGUUAAUGUCUGGGAAACUGCCUGAUGGAGGGGGAUAACUACUGGAAACNAGUAGCUAAUACCGCAUAACGUCGCAAGACCAAAGAGGGGGACCUUCGGGCCUCUUGCCAUCAGAUGUGCCCAGAUGGGAUUAGCUAGUAGGUGGGGUAACGGCUCACCUAGGCGACGAUCCCUAGCUGGUCUGAGAGGAUGACCAGCCACACUGGAACUGAGACACGGUCCAGACUCCUACGGGAGGCAGCAGUGGGGAAUAUUGCACAAUGGGCGCAAGCCUGAUGCAGCCAUGCCGCGUGUAUGAAGAAGGCCUUCGGGUUGUAAAGUACUUUCAGCGGGGAGGAAGGUGUUGUGGUUAAUAACCGCAGCAAUUGACGUUACCCGCAGAAGAAGCACCGGCUAACUCCGUGCCAGCAGCCGCGGUAAUACGGAGGGUGCAAGCGUUAAUCGGAAUUACUGGGCGUAAAGCGCACGCAGGCGGUCUGUCAAGUCGGAUGUGAAAUCCCCGGGCUCAACCUGGGAACUGCAUUCGAAACUGGCAGGCUAGAGUCUUGUAGAGGGGGGUAGAAUUCC